AUUAGUGAGGAAUCAGUCCAGACAGGUGGAAAAGACAGCAUCCUGCCCUAUAACCAGGAGGAAUAGUGACCAUUAAGGAGUAAAAGUGUGUAGAAGGAAUGAACAUGUUACACAGCCUAUGGUGAAAGAAGCAAGAUUCAAGAUUGUGAAAACACUGAGGUGCUCUAGAAGAAUUGAAUUCUUCCCAAGUUCUCGGCAUUAAAGCCUAUAUCCAGCAAAGCAGCUCAGCAGAUACUUAGCUGCUUCAGAUUACUAAAUGCAUCCUUCAAUACCACAGGACUCCUUUCCUCGGAGAUACCAGACAGGAGCAGGUGCUGGCAGGAGAGAAAGAUAUUAUUGCUGGACUGGGGAAAUUUUGUCAGCUUUUCAAAUGUAUAAAUGUUUUCCAUUGGCAUUUGUCAAACCUUUGUAUACCUGAGAUGAGGUCAUGAGAGGAUCUAGGAUUUUGAAAAGAAGCGUACAGAUAGUGUGGCAUGUCAUCAUAUAUAAACACAAUGCACAUUUUUGUCCAAUUAAAGCAAAACUAGAAACCUUACUAAUAUGCUAGCACUAGGUUAUUCAGUUUAAGAUUAAACCAAAAACCAACAUAACUAUUGGAACGAGUACUAAUUUACUAGUUUAUAUAUUAAGUUAAAAAAACACAACAAACUAGGCAAAAAAUAGUUAAAAUAAUCAAAAGAUAUUUUGUCCUGUAGUCAUUACAGUUAAAGUAUGUCUUUUAUUUAGAUUUAGAUUUAUAAAACAAAACCUAGCCUUCUUUAGUGUCUUGACAGUGCCUCUGAUACUUCACUGCUAGACAUUCCUACACCUGAGUUAAUA